AUGGUCGGCCUCAUAUUACAUUCGACGUGCAAGCACGCAACAGCAAGGUUGCCGAUUUUUCGCGCCCCGUUGAGCGAGUAUUGGCCUCCUAGCUUUUUAUCAAUGACACGAAAGAACCCGCGCUUACUUGUGAGAUACGGUCGGACCCAUUCAACAAGACUGCGCUCCGCCUGGGGACGAUUCGUGUCAAGUGCGCGACGACCACACAUCAUCUCUAGAAGCACAACCCCGAAGCCAUAUACGUCGCACUUUGCAGUAAGAUGA
rnacentral:rRNA from 1 species